UUGGGUAGAUCCGUGCCUUGAGGCAGGGAGCUGGCCUCCAUGGCCGCAGGUAACCCUUCCAGCUGGGGACAGCAGCGACCCGGGUGACCUCAGAGCCACUGUUCUGCACCCCCGAAAGAGGAUGGACCUUGAGGUCACUGGUGUGGCGGAAGAACUGCGUGUGCCUUUCUUUCUUGUAAAGUACGUGUCAAUGCCCCAUUCUCCUGCCAAUCUUUAGGAAGCGGCACCUUCGAGAAACAAAAGAUAAGCAGACAAUCCUAGAAGCUUUUGGAGACUGAAAAAGUCACACCAUGAGGAUCGAGAAUCAGAAUGGCAUCGGACUGCUUAACAUCAACCUAGAACACCACAUGCCAAUAGAGAACUGCCUUCAGAACUCUGAGGGGAGAUGAUUUCCAACUGAGAUUUAUACCUCCAGCCAAACUGUCAAUCAAUUAUCCAAAAACUGAACUCCCAUAUGCAGCCUCCAAGGAAGCUACUGGCGUGUAUAUUACAACAAAAUGAAGGGAGUAAAGCAAGAAAGAAGAUGACUUAGUAUCUAAGAAACAAGGCACCGACACAGGACAGAGGGAAAGGGAAUUCCCAGUGUAACGUUGAAGAGAAAUUUCACAACUUCUACUACAAUGGCCAGGAGAGCAACUGAUCCAGGUAGAAGCAGGAGGGCUCAAAGAAAAAAAACAGAACUGAUAGGUUGCCAGAUGUGUUUGACUAUAUUACGAGAAAUUUUAGAGUUUUAUUGUCACGGUUUGUGGGAAGAAUUAGUAAUCUUACAUCAAAAACUAAUUAAAUUUAAAAACUGAGGUACUUACUAACUCCAGGGAAAACAAAAAGCUGUACAAGACUGCAACUGUAACCAUAAUAUAGUCCCUUGUUUAGCUGUGAAUAAUCUAUAUGUAGAUAUGAUACGGUAACAACUGAGUGUUGAUUUAGCAACUGUGAUAGGACUAUCUUGGAAGAAAAAGUGUGUGUUUGUGGAUGGUGGCUGGUGGAGAACCAGCAAUCUUCCACAGGAGGAAGCCAAUACAUAAUAUUUGAAAAAUACAUCUAGAGAACGAUAUUUAGAAAUAUGAAAGGAAAUGUCAGAAG
rnacentral:lncRNA from 1 species